rnacentral:rRNA from 1 species
GACGGAGGGGGCGAGCGUUAAUCGGAAUUACUGGGCGUAAAGCGCAUUUAGGCGGCCGAACAAGUCAGGUGUGAAAUCCUCGGGCUUAACCUGGGAAGUGCACUUGAUACUGUCCGGCUAGAGUUUGGCAGAGGAAAGUAGAAUUCCCGGUGUAGCGGUGAAAUGCGUAGAUAUCGGGAGGAAUACCAGUGGCGAAGGUGGCUUUCUGGGCCAAUAAUGACGUUGAGGUGCGAAAGCGUGGGGAGCAAACAGG